ACGGGGGGGGCAAGCGUUGUUCGGAAUCACUGGGCGUAAAGGGCGCGUAGGCGGUCUGUUAAGUCGGAUGUGAAAACUCUGGGCUCAACCCAGAGCCUGCAUCCGAAACUGGCAGGCUAGAGUUCUGGAGGGGGUAGCGGAAUUCCUGGUGUAGCGGUGAAAUGCGUAGAUAUCAGGAGGAACACCGGUGGCGAAGGCGGCUACCUGGACCAACACUGACACUGAGGUACGUAAGCGUGGGGAGCAAACAGGA
rnacentral:rRNA from 1 species